rnacentral:rRNA from 1 species
GUGGGGAAUUUUCCGCAAUGGGCGAAAGCCUGACGGAGCAAGACCGCGUGAGGGAGGAAGGCCUACUGGUUGUAAACCUCUUUUGACAGGGAAGAACACAAUGACGGUACCUGUCGAAUCAGCCUCGGCUAACUCCGUGCCAGCAGCCGCGGUAAUACGGAGGAGGCAAGCGUUAUCCGGAAUUAUUGGGCGUAAAGCGUCCGUAGGUGGUUAUCCAAGUCAGUUGUUAAAGCGUGGAGCUUAACUCCAUAAGGGCAAUUGAAACUGGUUAGCUAGAGUGCGAUAGGGGCAAGGGGAAUUCCCAGUGUAGCGGUGAAAUGCGUAGAUAUUGGGAAGAACAUCGGUGGCGAAAGCGCCUUGCUGGGUCUGCACUGACACUGAGGGACGAAAGCUAGGGGAGCGAAAGGGAUUAGAAACCCUUGUAGUCC